UUAUGCACCCUGUUUUACCCGGUAGGCUGCUGCAGCCAGAUAUAACUUCCAAAGAAGUACGCACCAUCUAAAGAGUGGUUCGACUACACGAAAGCUAGGUCGGUCGCUAAAUUGGCUACAGAACAAGAAGUUAUUCUCAUUCGUUUGACUGAUGCUGGGGUACCGAUGACUUCAAAGAUGUUACUUGGGUAUUACAUGAUGAGAAACUCGUUUAGCCUGUUGUAUAAUGACCAAAAUUAAUUAAUAAGAUCUCAUUACAUUUAUUAUAAGCAUUGACAAAGUUUUAUUAUAAUUAAGAAGUUGAAUACUUACUAGUUUUCAUUGAGGCCUUAUUAAGACAUAGG